rnacentral:lncRNA from 1 species
CAACUCACAAAAUUCACUAUUUAAAUUAACGAUACAAUUUUAUUUACACCAAACAUAGAACAGAGAACAAAACUUUCUAAUAUAUUGCAAAACCGAAGAAGUGAUUAGAAGACAAAAUUUCCUACCACGUGGAAUGAUUUGUACCUGGUGAUCCUUGCUUGAUCCCUCCAUCUAGUGUGUCAGAAAUCAAGAAACCAAUUUCCGCGAAUGGCUACAAAAAGGAAGUACAAAGACAGUUUUUUGAAUAUAUUUACUGUUUUUUUAAUCUUGAGCAAUUUCUGAGAAAUAAUAUCAUCAUAAGGAAGAGGCAAUUCAACGUUUGCUUGUACAAGGAAAGGAAAGAUAAAGAAAACGUCCAACCAGGCAUUUCAAAGGUUAGAAGUUUUGCUUACAAAUGGACAUAAAACCAGACGCAGAUGAUGAGUGCAAAGUUCCAUGAUUAAAUGUGCUCACAAGCUGAAUUGAAUCAAAAGAUGAAAAGAAACACAGUGUUACAACCCAACAACUUGUUGAAGCAAAACCGGUGGCUGAAGCUGAAACGAAAACUAAAGUUGAAGCUGCAGUUACAGGCAGUUGAAGUUAGAAAAGAUGAGCUGGAAUAAAUAGUUACAGCUGUUAGUUAGCAGUUCGAAUGCAGUUAGUUGUAGCUGGCAAUUUGAUAGCUAAUUCUAUAAAUAGAAUCAAUGUACAACAUUAAUCAGUUCUUUACAGAAUACAAAAGAAAAGAGAGUCUGAUUCUCUCCGGAUUUUCCCAUUCUUUUACCUUUUUCUAGCUCCUUUUUUGAUAUGGUAUCAAAGCAAUUUUAUGUCUUCUACUGCGUUCUAUAUUAGUUCCUUUGCUGAUUGUGAUUAUGGCUGCUGAAGAUUCUUCUAAUCCUUUGUUCUUAGCAAACAAUGACAGUCCUGGUACUGUAUGGGUUUCUUAAGUUCUUAACGGAUCCAAUUUCUUUCCUUGGAAGAGAUCAAUGUCCAUGGCCAUCUCUGCUAAGAACAAGCUUGGCUUUAUCAAUGGAAAUCUCCCAAAGCCAUCUACAACUGAUCCUUCUUAUCAAGCAUGGAUUCGUUGUAAUGACAUGGUUUGCUCUUGGAUCUUAAAACUCCUUGAAUAAAGAUAUUGCUGCUAGUGUUCCUUAUAUUGCUACUACAUCUGACCUGUGGAAAGAAAUGGAAGAGAGAUUUAGUUAAGGAAAUGCUCCCCACAUCUUUCAAUUGAAAAGGUCGAUCUGCGCUCUUACUCAAGGUUCGUCAUCAGUGACUAAUUAUUUCACCAAGUUCAAAACCUUGUGGGAUCAAUAUUUCAAUUAUCGUCCUUUACCUAAUGAUUCCAGUCCUGGUGUUAAAACUCUACUGGAUUAUCAUCUUCAAGAUUACGUUCUGCACUUUCUUAUGGGACUGAAUGAGAUUUUUGCUGCAUUAAGAGGUAAAUACUGUUAUCUGAUCCCUCGCCUUCUCUCAACAAAGUUUUCUCUUUGAUUUUACAAGAGGAAACUCAAAUACAUAUUGGUCAUUAUACUCCUCAGUUUGACUCUGCUGCUAUGGCUAGCAAGACAGCACCUGGUCCUUCUCUGCCUCAAUAUUCAUCUGGUUCAUUCAAGCAGCCAUCUGGCCCUCGAAAAGGAAAAUUAUAUUGUGCUGAAAGUGGUUAUACGUCCCACACGACUGACAAGUGCUUCAGAAUUAUUGGUUUUCCUCUAGGGUUUUAAAUCAGGCAAGAGUAAAGGAAUUAAUUCUUCAAGCCAAGUUCAUUCAAUGGCAUCUUCCAGCGAGCAGAAUCUUUCUUCAAUGCCACUCACUCAAGAACAAUACAAUCAGCUCCUCAAUUUACUUAAACCAAUCAAUGCUCCACCCGUUGACGCUUCUUUGGUCAGUAAGUGUGAUAACCUCACCCCAUUAUUUCAGCCUCAAUUCAAAUUAUGCAAUAUGACAUGUAUAAAUCAUUGCCCAUCAUUUUCUUCUACUCCUACUUCUUUUUCGAAUGCUCCCUGGAUUAUUGAUACGGGAGCAACAGACCACAUGGUGUGUUCAACUUCUCUUCUCAACACUAUAACAGCUAAAGUAAAUUCUUUUGCUCAAUUGCCUACUGGUGCUUCUGUACGAGUUACUCAUAUUGGCACUAUUCUCAUUUCAAAUAAACUUCGUUUAACAAAUGUCCUGUGUGUUCCUUCCUUUUCUUUCAACUUGCUAUCAGCCAGUAAACUCACACAUAGUUCUAAUAGUUGCUUAAUUUUUCUAUCUCGUUACUGCUUUAUUCAGGACCUUAUCUCAUGGACGACGAUUGGUAUUGGUGAAGAAAAAUGAGGAUUGUAUCAUCUGUCAAGGUUUCCUACAGUCUCCUACAUGUGCUACUUCCUCUGCAAAUUCAAGUUGUUUUAAUCUUUGGCAUUUUCGCCUAGGUCACUUGUCUCCUACUUGUUUAAAAAGUCUUGUUAACUCCAAUUCUAAAGUAAUCUCUAGUCCUAAAGAAUUCCUUUGUACUAUUUGUCCAAUGGCUAAACAAAAUAGGCAUCCUUUCUUUGUUAGUGAUACAUUUUCUACACACGUGUUUCAGUUAGUACUUGUGAUGUAUGGGGGCCUUUUGCUCAUCCUUCUUUAAAUGGUGCAUAGUAUUUUCUCACCUUAGUGGAUGACUUCUCUAGAUCCACAUGGAUAUAUCUUUUGCACUAUAAAUCUGAAUCAAGAUCAUACAUUCAAUGGUUCUAUAAUCUCGUUGAAACACAAUUCCAAGUUAAAAUAAAACAAUUUUGCACUGAUAAUGCUCCCAACCUUGAUAUGCAAGAUUUUUGUGCUGAAAAAGGAAUUAUUUAACAAAAGAGUUGUGUUGCUACACCUAAACAAAACAGUGUAGUCGAACGCAAACAUCAGCACCUGCUCGAUGUUUCAAGCCAAGUUACCCCUUCAAUUUUGGGGAGAAGCUGUCUUAACUGCAGCAUAUUUGAUUAAUCGUUUACCAACUCCCUUGUUGCAACACAAGUCUCCUUUUGAGAUCCUUUAUGCCAAACCUCCUAUUAAUGCUCAUCUUAGAGUCUUUGGUAGCUUAUGUUUUGCCUCUACCCUCUCUCACAAUCGUUCAAAAUUUGCUCCUCGAGCUUGUAGGUGUAUAUUUCUUGGAUAUCCUUAUGGUGUCAAGGGAUAUAAACUUUAUGAUCUUGAUCUUCAUACCUCUUUCAUAUCUCGAGAUGUAGUUUUUCAUGAACACAUCUUCCCUUAUAAAGAUUUAUCUUCCGUUUCUUAUGACAAUCCUUUCGUUUUUCCUAAACCUCUUCCCUCUCAAGAAUUGGAUACUUCCAUUUCUACUUCAAAUGGGCCCUCUUCUACACCUAUACCUCGCAGGUCUAAAGUCAGGAACACUUCUAGUUACCUUGAAUAGUAUCAUUGCAAUCUCCUUUCUUGCUCAGCUCAUCCUCAAUCCAUGUGUUCAGGUGGUUCAAAUAAGGUUAGUACUCCUUAUGAUAUAGCUACAUCUCUACAGUACAACAAGUUAUCACCUUCCAUUUCAAGUUUUAGUGAUGUAGGAAGAAACAGCAGAAGAAGAGAAAAGCAGAAGAGGAAGAAGCCGGGGAAAGAGAAGGGAAAACGUGAGAGAAGAAAGAGGGGGGAGAGAGAAGACAGAGGAGUGGAAGGCAACAAUUCAUUCAUUCAUCAUCUGCUAACUUUCGAUCCCAAUUACAAUAACAUAAAUAACAAAACAAUAACUUGGGGGCUUGGACCAAACCCAUAUACAAGCCCAAUGAGACAUAGGCCCGAAAUAAAUAAGUAAAAGACAUAAGCCCAAAAUAAAUAACUAAAAGAUAAAAUGAGGAUGAUGUCCGCAUCAACUCUCCCGGGGUGGGAGAAAAACUCGACCUCGUCGAGGAGGUAGGUCACAAAAGGCUGCUGUCAAUCUCCUAGCCACAAACUGAUCGGUUGAGCAAACUUCUUUCGACAUCUAUAGACACGCAAAGAUGGUGGUCCGGGUAGAGGAAGAUCUUGUUGACUCCUAUAAUUCUCCAACAAGUCAGGAUCAAGCUGUUGAAGUGUCUCUUUGGGGAUCCAAGUACAAUCAGAAUCAGGACGGCCCUCUCAACGAACAAGGAAGCGCUGAAUGUCUCUAUCCUUGGUUAAUAUAGUCUGUGCAUCUAGAAUAGCAUCAAUUUUAUCUUUAUGUGCUGCAGCAGGUGGAAUUGGGGCAGGAAUAACAUGUUCAGGAUGAGGGUCCAGAGAUGGAGGUGUGAAAGGAUCAUCAGCGGGGUGAAAUUGACCUUUGUAAGCAACUAAGUCUUUAACAUUAAAGGUAGGGUGGUAGCCAAAAUGUGAUGGUAAGUCAAUGACAUAAGCAUUUGGGCCAACACGCUUUAAAUUUUUAAAAGGACCAGCACUAUGAGUUUGCAAUUUAGAAGCAGGCCCAGAUGGACGCCGUUCCGGUCUAAUUCGAAUCAUAACAUAAUCCCCAACAUUAAAUUCAACAUGGCGUUUGUGCAAAUCAGCUCGAAGUUUAUAUAAUGCAUUACUCGCUUCUAGCUGUUUAUUGAUCUCAAUAUGCAAGUCACGCAGAUGUUGUGCAAAAGACUCAACUGACACAGACACACUAGCAUGUGGAGACAUAGGAAUAAGGUCUAACAGCUUCCUAGACUUAAAACCAUGAACAAUCUCAAAAGGACUCAUACCUAUAGAUCAAUUCACUGAACUGUUAUAUGCAAGUUGGGCAGUAGGAAAAAUUAAGUCCCAAUUCCUAAGAUUUUCCUGGACUAAACAUCUUAAUAGAUUACCAAGACUGCGGUUAACAACCUCAGUUUGACCGUCCGUUUGUGGGUGAUAUGCAGUAGAGAAUUUUAGUUUAGUGCCAACCAUACUCCAUAGGGUUCGCCAAAAAUGGCUAGUGAAACGAACAUCCCUAUCAGAGACAAUGGUCUUAGGGAGGCCAUACAGCUUGACGAUCUCAUGGAAGUAUAACUUAGCAACCUUAGAUGCAUCGGAAGUCUUGCUACAGGAAAUAAAGUGUGCCAUUUUUGAGAAGGGAUCUACGACAACAAAAAUGGAGUCGUGUUUCUUUAGAGUACGUGGCAACCCUAGCACGAAAUCCAUACUAACGUCUUACCAAGGACAACUAGGGACGGGGAGAGGAGUGUAGAGGCUUGUGUUCUGCCUUUUGUGCUUAGAUCGUUGACAGGUGUUACAUGUGCCAACAAUCUUGGCCACGUCAGUCUUUAAACUGAGCCAAUAUAAUUGAUGUUCAAUUUCCUCUAUGGUCUUAUCACGCCCAAAAUGUCCAGCCAACCCAUCAGCAUGACUUUCCCACACUAUAAAGUCUCGCACUGAAAUCCUGGGGAUGCACAACUUAUUGGAUCUAAAAAGAUAGCCCUCCUCUAAACGGAAACCAUCAGUGGUGUCCAACUCCCCAUUAUGCAAAGCAAGAAAAAUGUCCCUGAAAUCGGGACAUAACUCGUACUCUUCCUUAAGUCUUUCAAACCCUAGAACCUUAACACUCAUGACGGACAAGAAGGAGAUGCGACGGCUUAAAGCGUCAGCAGCUUGAUUUUCAACACCCUUCUUAUGCUUUAAGACAAAAGAAUAGGCUUGUAAAUAUUCGAUCCAGCGGCCAUGCCGAGAAUUCAAUCGUCUCUGGGAAUUAAGGAAACGAAGAGCCUCAUAGUUAGAAAAGAGGACAAAUUCGUGGGGUAAUAAGUAAUGACGCCAAUAGCGCAAGGCUUGUACAACUGCGUAUAACUCCUUAUCAUAAGUCGAGUACCGUUGCUUGGCAUCAUUUAAUUUCUCACUACAAUAAGCAAUAGGAUGGCGUUCUUGACUCAAGACUCCACCUAUUCCUACCCUUGUCGCAUCACAUUUGACCUCAAAAACUUUGGAAAAAUCUGGGAGUCGCAUGACAAGAGCCUCUGUCAUUUGCCUUUUGAUUAACUGAAAGGCCUUAACCGCUUCCUGCGUCCAAUGAAAUUCUCCUCUCUUCAUACACUUUGUGAUAGGAGCCAGGAUCGUACUAAAUCUCUUGAUGAAACGACGAUAAAAGGUAGCUAAACCAUGAAAACUCCUAAUAUCAUGUAUAUUCUUGCGAUCUGGCCACUCAACAAUUGCCCGAAUCUUUGCAGGAUCAACAGAUACUCCCGUAGCGGAAACAACAAAUCCGAGAAACACAAUUGUAUCCGUGAAGAAAGAACAUUUCUUCACAUUGGCAUACAAGCUUGUUGCACGCAAUGUAGAGCAAACUUGCGUGAGAUGAUCUCGAUAUUGUUCCCUUGUUUUGCUGUACACGAGGAUGUCUUCAAAGUAUACGACAAUGAAUUUGCCCAUGAAAGGCCGAAGGGCCUGUGUCAUCACCCUCAUAAAAGUAUUUGGAGCAUUGGUUAGUCCAAAAGGCAUUACCAACCACUCGUAUAGGCCAUCUUUCGUUUUAAAUGCAGUUUUCCACUCGUCUCCUGGGCGGAUCCAAAUCUGAUGACACCCACUCUUCAAAUCGAUUUUGGAAAAGAUUGUGGCAUCGGCCAUCAUAUCUAGCAUAUCAUCAAGUCGAGGGAUGGGAAAACGAUACUUGACAGUGAUUUUAUUGAUAGCGCGACUAUCAACGCACAUCUUCCAAGAACCAUUCUUCUUAGGUGUCAUGAGGGCGGGCACUGCACCAGGGCUUAAACUUUCACAAAUGAAGCCUUUGUGAAAGAGUUCACCCACUUAUCUCUAGAGCUCGGCAUGUUCAGCAGGAUUCAUUCUAUAGUGAGGCAAGUUUGGGAGAGACGAACCUGGAACCAGAUCUAUAGCAUGUUGAAUAUCCCGUAAGGUAGGCAGUAGAUCAGGGAGGUCGUCAGGAAAUACAUCCUUAAAUUCCUGAAGGAGUGAAUGGGCUUCAGUAGGGGUUGCUAUUGGGGGAUCGAACGGGACUUUCAUAACAAUCACAGCAAAUACGAUUGAGUCAUUUACGAUUGUCCGUUCAAUUUCUGCCGGGCUAAUCACAUGUAAUCCUUUCCUCUCGACAAUUUUUUUGGCUUGGUGUAAGUCAACAGAUUUUGGUGAUAAAGGAUUAAGGUGAAUCUUCUUUCCAUUAAAUACAAAAGAACAUGAAUUUGAUCGCCCAUGGAUAGUUACAUCCAGAUCGAACAACCAAGGUCGACCAAGAAUGACAUGCCCAACAUCCAUAGGGAUAACGUCACACCAUAUAUGAUCCUUAUACCCAAGAAAUUGGAUAGGCACCAGACAAUGCUCUUUCACAGCUAUAGAAGAAGUGUCAACCCAGGAGACGCUAUAUGAUUGGGGGUGCGGGACUGACUUCAAUCCAAGACGGGAUACUGUGGUCACAGAGACCGUGUUAAUACAGCUCCCACUAUCAACAAUAAUCUUACAACCUUUAUUGUUGAUCUUGAUAUAAGUAUGAAAAAUAGCAUGACGGCGCCAAUCAUCGACAUCCUUAGGUUGGAUAAGGGUACAACGUACAACACUUAACCGAG